GGCGACAAUCAUCACCAUUGUUGCCAUUUCGAGGAUUUCAGUGAUCUUGGAGCGUGGUGAUUUCUCUCGGUGACAAGGGAUUCAUGGCUUUUUAUCUCUUUUGCAAAAGCCUUUCCAUGUGAAGAGCCGGCCUACAAUUGGUCAGUUUGGGUGUUUGAGUUUGCAGCGUGCUUGGUGGAAGAGGGGGCUCUUUGUAAUUUGCUGACAGAGCAGUAGUUACAGAGAAAUCAGUUUGCAAAUGAUUUUUUGUGAAACAAAUGCUGCAAUAUACUUCAUUUGAGAUCACAGG